AUGAACGCUGGCGGCGUGCCUAAUACAUGCAAGUCGAGCGAACAGACGAGGAGCUUGCUCCUCUGACGUUAGCGGCGGACGGGUGAGUAACACGUGGAUAACCUACCUAUAAGACUGGGAUAACUUCGGGAAACCGGAGCUAAUACCGGAUAACAUGUUGAACCGCCUGGUUCAACAGUGAAAGACGGUUUUGCUGUCACUUAUAGAUGGAUCCGCGUCGCAUUAGCUAGUUGGUAAGGUAACGGCUUACCAAGGCAACGAUGCGUAGCCGACCUGAGAGGGUGAUCGGCCACACUGGAACUGAGACACGGUCCAGACUCCUACGGGAGGCAGCAGUAGGGAAUCUUCCGCAAUGGGCGAAAGCCUGACGGAGCAACGCCGCGUGAGUGAAGAAGGUCUUCGGAUCGUAAAACUCUGUUAUUAGGGAAGAACAAAUGUGUAAGUAACUAUGCACGUCUUGACGGUACCUAAUCAGAAAGCCACGGCUAACUACGUG
rnacentral:rRNA from 1 species